rfam:Nematostella vectensis strain CH2 x CH6 NEMVEscaffold_12636_Cont57517, whole genome shotgun sequence.
AGCUUUGCGCAGUGGCAUUACCGUAGCUGAUGAGGUCCAUCCGAGGCGCGGUUAUUGCUGAUUGAAAACUUUUCCCAAUACCCCGCGAGACGACUUGAAGCAUAGUCGGCUGGCAGGCCAAUACCUGCAGUUAAUAUUUAAUA